UGGCACUAGUCAAAAUGACACUCAUUUGA
rnacentral:piRNA from 1 species